rnacentral:rRNA from 1 species
UACAGAGGGUGCGAGCGUUGUUCGGAAUUAUUGGGCGUAAAGCGCUUGUAGGCGGCACGUCAAGUCGCGUGUGAAAUCCCCAGGCUUAACCUGGGAAGUGCGCGCGAAACUGACGAGCUUGAGUGCCGGAGAGGGUCGCGGAAUUCCCGGUGUAGAGGUGAAAUUCGUAGAUAUCGGGAGGAACACCAGUGGCGAAGGCGGCGAUCUGGGGAAGAUACUGACGCUGAGGUGCGAAAGCGUGGGGGAGCGAACGGG